GCCGUGGACGCUGCGUCCAUGCCCGAACCCCGAGUGCGUGCGUGGGCUGAGGCCCCCAAAUCUUGCACUGAAGCCGAGUAGUCAGCCCCUGCAGGUUGGGAUGUCUCCGCUUAGUCAGGCCGCGGGAGCAGGAAUACUCCGUGGAUCUUGCCACUAGAUGCAAAUUUUUGUAGCCUGCGGGGAGGCAUAUUCAUUCUCAUUCUCUGGGUUUGAAUCUGUGUUCAUGUUUGUGAAGAAGUGGAGAGUGUGACCACAUGUACUUAUGUUUUGUGCAAACGUUCCCCAGAGCAACCCAGUUCCCUGAAUGGCUCUCCCCAAGUCUCCUGGAGUCUCGUGGUGACACUCAGAUUUUGUGUGCGGUUUACAAGUUGUUGAGAGAGGAGGAUAUAUGAAUGAAAGCAGCAGGGUGGGGGACGAGCAAGGCUCAAGUGCUAUUCAAAUAAAUAGAGUGUCACGGAAAACGGUCAAGGAGCUAAGGAAAAUACCCCCGGGCAGACAUGAGCGGGAGUCGCACCCGUACAGAUGAGAGCUUGCUGACAGAUCGUGGUUCGCUGAGCGCGAGAGCUUCCCGGCGUUGUCCCGGGAGUCCCCCCAUUCCACUCCACUCCAGUUCCUGAAGCCCCGGGGGGAGCCAGCAGAGGAGCUGCAGGGAGGCAGAGGGGAAGUCGCGGAAACUUUGCCCACGGGCGUGCGGUCGCCGCGUUGCUGCCCGCGGGCUGGUGGCCGGGAGGCGGCGGCAGCUCAGCCAAACAGCUGAAACCCUAGACGGCUUUUUAACUACGCCGGGCAGCUCGCGGUGCCUAUUAAAAAUCCUCCUGGCUGGGUGUUAUUUUCUUGCUUCUCCUUUUGUAUUCUGAUCUGCGCAUAGAUCUGCUGCUGAAAUCUAGAACACCAGCGCGAAAACAGAUUUGAAGACAAUGAAUGCAAAUCUGUGCUCAAAGACCAUCUGCCGUGGAGGAGACAAAUCAGCUGUUCCACAGUUCGAGCGACUGCGCCCGAGCCUCCCGGCUUCAUUACUGAGAGGGCCUUGGCUAAAGCCUGGAUUACAUUCGGGAGACUUUGCCCCCACAUAGGACUCAAAUUUGAGCGUCUAUUGACUCUCGACCAGAUCCCUUAGGUGUAGGUGAGCGCUCAGAAAUGAACUGCGAGAGUUUGCCGCUAGAGGACACAGCGCCUUGCAACUCGUUUGCCAGAGCCGACUGGAAGCUCGCACUUUCAGAAAAUGCAGCUCUCUUGAGAGAGGGACCGGUCUGCGUCUCUACUCUAUCCCAGGGGCAAACCGAGACCCUAGACUGCGCCCGCGGAUCGCGCUCAGGAUGCGCAGGCUUUAUGGAUAAUUUCGGUCCCUGCAAACACUAAGCUCUCGGAGUCUUCUACCCCGGCCCGCACUCUUCAUAAAAUCUCUCUGAACCUAAACCACCCAGCCCCAUUCUCAUCUGCGGUCUGUGCCCAGCGGAGCCGAUGCCUCGGGUGGCGGCGGAGAGUGUGGAACAGCCCUUGAGCCCCUCAAGAUGUGUUGAUGAGCCCGGCGAUGUUUUUCAAGGGGCCUCUGAUCUGCUGCACCUCCACGCUGCCCAAGAGAGAAACUGGACUUGUAUGCUCCAUAAAUAAGAAUUCCCUAGAGAGGGAGGGAGAAAAGAUACUACUGUAUUCACAAAAGCACCACAAAUAUUUCAGGAGGACUCCACCAUCCAUGCCGAACAAUUCUCUUUCAGGACA